rnacentral:rRNA from 1 species
GAUGAACGCUGGCGGCGUGCUUAACACAUGCAAGUCGAACGGAAAGGCCCAAGCUUGCUUGGGUACUCGAGUGGCGAACGGGUGAGUAACACGUGGGUGAUCUGCCCUGCACUUCGGGAUAAGCCUGGGAAACUGGGUCUAAUACCGGAUAGGACCACUUCUUGGAUGUUGUGGUGGAAAGUUUUUUCGGUGUGGGAUGAGCUCGCGGCCUAUCAGCUUGUUGGUGGGGUAAUGGCCUACCAAGGCGUCGACGGGUAGCCGGCCUGAGAGGGUGUACGGCCACAUUGGGACUGAGAUACGGCCCAGACUCCUACGGGAGGCAGCAGUGGGGAAUAUUGAACAAUGGGCGCAAGCCUGAUGCAGCGACGCCGCGUGGGGGAUGACGGCCUUCGGGUUGUAAACUCAUUUCGCUAGGGACGAAGCGUUUUGUGACGGUACCUGGAGAAGAAGCACCGGCUAACUACGUG